UAAUGUUGUUUCUAUCUCGACUUUUGAAUCAUCGUUUCACUGUUCGUUACGAAUGUUUACGAUUACAAAUGUUAAUAGAAUGUUAAGCUGAAAAUGAUUUUGCCAUAAUGUGCUUUCAUGGCAGUCGUGUUUGAUUGGAUUACUUCAAAGCUCCAAUAUUUAAUUAAGUAUAAAACCAACGUAAAUUCUCUUUAUAUAAUGAGGUUUGCUGUCAACAUAAUUUUCAUAUCGUGUUUGCCCAAUUGUGAAAAAACCUCCUGCACUUGUGCUUUUGCAAUUCCUUUCAGGAGUUAAGAAGUGAAAAGACUGAAAAUACGAAGAACAGAAUCAGUUAGCGUUUUGGUAGAAAAGACAUGAAUAAUUUACUGCUUGUAAAAUAUUUCCACAAGAAGGCUGUUGGUUAUCAAUUGUAAAACAAUAAAGUAUGAUGAAUUGUUACAAGGAAUAAUAUUAAGUAUAUUCUCUGAUGAUGGCAAUGAUGAAUUGUUUGAAAAGAUGAAGAUAUUCAAAAUCAGCUGAAUUUUACUUGAAUUGCCCUACGCUAUCACUGCAACUGCAUUUAUCUAUGGUCACAAGUAAAUAUUGAAGUACUGAUUAACAAUUCCGAUUUGCUUAAAAAAGGGAUGAUGAAAAAUGGUGAAGCUAUUCCGCCAAAGUUGAUUUUGGUAAUGUGACGUAUCAUUCUUUAAAAUCAAUUUAUUUAAUGAUGUCAGGCAUUUGAAGAUUUCAAUGACCUGAAUGAGCUUCCGUGUGAUUUUGGCAGAAGUUGACAACGUCAUAGCAACUGUCUUAAUUAGUCAGAAAUUAUGUCAAAUAUAGCUUGACGAAAAUUAGCAAUUAAUGAAUGAUUGAAUGAUGCAAGGUGGUUUUUGCUAUCUUUCAAAAACUGACUCUAUUGAAAUAUGAUGCAUUUCCUGUAAAUGAAUAGACAGUUAGAUGCCUGUAGAGAAUUAAAAUUGCUUUGAGAAUUCUAA